AUGAACAUAAUAUUUGCAAUUGUAACCAAUUUUAAGUUCACAAUUCAAUGGCAUGAAUUACAUUCAAGAUAUUAAUUACACUCAUGAUAUUCACUAAUUACACACAUGAUAUUAAUUACAUUUGUGGUGUUCAUUGAUUACAUUCCGGGUAUUCAUACAAUAACUAUAU